CGCGGCCAAGCACAGUGCGCUGUUUGUCCGCCUUUGAAACCAGAGGCUGCGAGGCGGGGGCCGGCGCCCCCUCCCCACAGCCCCGGCGAGUUCCUGGACGGGCGCGCGCAAGCACAGCGACCCCUACCGGCUCCUCCACUCUCCCCAGCCACCUCCUCCAGGAAGCUCGCUCGGGCUUCCGGGACCUGGAAGAGUCCUGUAGAGACUGUCUGAGAGAUGCUUUUGGCCUCCCAGACAUUUUGUCCUUGGGUCCUCACUAAUACAUCACGAGGUCUCUUCACUUGAACCAGUUGGGGGUAAACUUCGUUUCCCGUCGUGACCCUGCCUGAUACAGCACCUUCUGCCCAGGCCACAAAACAAGCCAUGGCCAGCGGGAGGCCAAGGGACAAGAGAGAGAUUGCCAGAGGGCAGAAACACACAGGACAAAAUGGGGCAGAGAAGCAGAAACAGGGAGAGAUUAAAAAGGCAAAGGCUGGCCGGGCGCUGUGGCUCAUGCCUGUAAUCUCAACAUUUUGGGAGGCCUGAAGGAGGUGGAUCACUUGAGCCCAAGAGUUUGAGAUCAGCCUGGGCAACAUAGCAAGACCCCGUCUCUGCAAAAAAAAAUUAAAAAAUUUAGCUAGGCAUGAUGGUUCACCCCUCUGAUUGCCUGAUUGCUUAAGUUCCAGGCUGCAGUGAGCUGCGAUUGCACCAUUGUACUCUGGCCUGGGCAACAGAGCCAGAUCCU
rnacentral:lncRNA from 10 species